GAGAAGAGAAGGGUUUGAGAAAGAACUUACUUGUGCGGCGUCGAACACUGAACGAAGCCGCCAAUUGCUCCAGAUGGGAAGCGUGAGACAUUGAAGAAAGGAAAGACAUUGAUGAAUUAGCUUGUUUGACUUCUGAUUCUUCGGUUGAAAGUGCAGCGAGUGUUCCAUCAACUUCGACUCGACCUCAGCUCUAGCCAGUGUCCAGCACA